UUCAUUGUUUAUAAUUAAUUAAUAAAUAAUCUGUCAAAUAUUUGUUGUAAUUAAAAAGUAAGAACAAAAAUAAUCAUCAGUCGAUACGAGAGAUUUCAACAAUUGUGUAUUUUUAUGAACAUAUAUGCAUCUUUUGAUUUUAUUAUUUUCAUUAAACAAAUGACAAUCAAUCGAAGCUUCGCUUUUCUUAAAUAUCUCUGUUUACCGUAUCUACAAUUGUUAUGAACAAAGCAUAUAAGUAUAAAAAAAUAAAGUAAAACACAUAAGUACAAAAAAACAAAGCGUAUAAUUUGUUAAAUCUUAUUCAUUAAUAAACUUUUUGCCGCCUUAUUUAAUGUAAUCAAAAAAUUUUCUUUAAAUUUAUUAUCUCCAUAAAUAUUCAACACAUUAUUGUUUGUCUUCAAUUAUAUCGAUUCUUCAAUUAUUAACAAAAUUCUAAUCGAAAAUAUUUUAGUUAUAACCAUUAUUCAACAGAUUUUAAGAAUCUAUAUUUUUUAGAUUUUAAUCGUUAAAUUAUUGAUGGGGCGUCAACGAUAUGUAUUUGUUGAGUCUGCAAUUCAAGUCUUAAAGAAACAUAUUAAAUAUUUUAUCCCUGACUUACCACUAUGGUCUUCGGAAAUUUGGCAAAUAAUAUCCGAUGAAUUAAAAAACAAAUGGUCUAGUAAUUGUGUUCGUGUUAAUGUUCGUCAAGACAGAAAAAAGAUUUUAACUAUUGUCUGGCAAGAAUGUGGUUAUUUUUCUCAAAAUUCAAAUAUAUCUAAUAUUAAUGAUGAUAAUGAAUUGGAUAAUGACAAUCUGAAUAAAAGUAUUGAUAGCGAAAGUAGUAAUGAUGACGAUAAAAAUGACAUAGAUUAUGUCAACGAAAAUUGGUAUUUUCAUGAUUCUAAUGAAAUUGAAGAUUUUGGUGUGGAGAUUUUUAGAGAAGUAUGGAAUAAAAUUAUAACAAAAAAUAUUGACAGCAAUGGACAUCAGUAUAUUAAACUAUGAAAAAAUGUUUGGACAGAUAUUAUUGCAUUUGCUUUUUGGGAACAGUACCGCUUGAAAUGUAGCUUUAUGUUCAAAAAAAGUACUAUAAAUGAAAAUGCAGAUAAUUAUCUUUCCUUUUAUAGUUACUGUAAAAGUAAAAAAACUAUCUAAGAGAACGCCCAAUUUAUAUAUUUAUAUAGAGCUUGAUGUAAAAAAACAUGGGGAAACAGAAGGUCGAAUGUGUAAAUUACGUGAGCUGCCAGUAUACUUAAAUUUAAAAGCCAAUGAAUGUGGAGAUAUUCUUCGUUAUCGAUUAUCCGGAGUUGCAGGGUAUUCUACUUUCCACUAGAUAGCCUAUUGCAGAAGAGCAUCUGGUUCAUGGAUAUCGUAUAAUGAUAAUGCCAAGAAACCUGAAUCGGUGGCGGAUAGUUUAUCAAUAACACCUCAUGGUGUACUUUACAUAAGAUCCUAAAAUUGUAUUAUAUUGUAUAUAACAAAGUUGAGAAUAAUUUUAUUUUUAUUGAUACCUCAUUGUUUGUUAAUUAACACUGUUCAAAUAAUGAUUAAAUUCUUUAAUUCUUUGAAUAUUUAAA